GCGAAAGAGAAACAGUGGCACAGCACGAAUCACUCAGCUAUUCGUGACCAAAGCAGGACGCAAGCGAAGCGAAAUGUUUACAACCACCCUUUAAAAACUACCCCUGUUUGAAACAACCCUCGUAACGGUCGCAAUGAAGCUUAAUUAUUUAAGAAAAUUUCAAUUUUUAUAACCAAAUGAGAAAUAAGAUUUUUUUUUUAUUAUUUUAGAACAUUUUUUUAUCGAGUGUAUCUAAAAUGAGAUCCAUAAUCAUACUUAAAUAAAAAAUAAAAAAUACUAAAAAUAA